UAAGGAAUAUUGGUCAAUGGACGCAAGUCUGAACCAGCCAUGCCGCGUGAAGGAAGACGGCCCUACGGGUUGUAAACUUCUUUUGUACGGGAAAAAACCACCGGUCGUGAACCGGUGCUGAUGGUACCGUAAGAAUAAGCAUCGGCUAACUCCGUGCCCGCAGGCGCGGUAAUACGGAGGAUGCAAGCGUUAUCCGGAUUCAUUGGGUUUACAGGGUGCGCAGGCGGAAGGAUAAGUCAGUGGUGAAAUACUACGGCGUAACUGUAGAACUGCCAUGGAUACUGUUGUUCUUGAGUACACUUGGAGUGGGCGGAAUGUGUCAUGUAGCGGUGAAAUGCUUAGAUAUGACACAGAACACCGAUCGCGAAGGCAGCUCACUAAGUUGUAACUGACGCUCAGGCACGAAAGCGUGGGGAUCAAACA
rnacentral:rRNA from 1 species